UGGGGAAUAUUGGCACAAUGGGCGCAAGCCUGAUGCAGCCAUGCCGCGUGUAUGAAGAAGGCCUUCGGGUUGUAAAGUACUUUCAGCGGAGGAGGAAGGCAUUAAGGUUAAUAACCUUAGUGAUUGACGUUACCUCGCAGAAGAAGCACCGGCUAACUCCGUGCCAGCAGCCGCGGUAAUACGGAGGGUGCAAGCGUUAAUCGGAAUUACUGGGCGUAAAGCGCACGCAGGCGGUCUGUCAAGUCGGAUGUGGAAUCCCCGGGCUCAACCUGGGAACUGCAUUCGAAACUGGCAGGCUAGAGUCUUGUAGAGGGGGUAGAAUUCCAGGUGUAGCGGUGAAAUUGCGUAGAGAUCUGGAGGAAUACCGGUGGCGAAGGCGGCCCCCUGACAAAGACUGACGCUCAGGUGCGAAAGCGUGGGACAAACA
rnacentral:rRNA from 1 species